rnacentral:rRNA from 1 species
UACGUAGGUGGCAAGCGUUGUCCGGAAUUAUUGGGCGUAAAGCGCGCGCAGGCGGCCUUGUAAGUCUGUUGUUUAAACUCGGAGCUCAACUUCGAGUCGCAAUGGAAACUGCAAAGCUUGAGUACAGAAGAGGAAAGUGGAAUUCCAUGUGUAGCGGUGAAAUGCGUAGAGAUGUGGAGGAACACCAGUGGCGAAGGCGACUUUCUGGGCUGUAACUGACGCUGAGGCGCGAAAGCGUGGGGAGCAAACAGG